GACGAACCGAGCGAACGUUAUUCGGAAUCACUGGGCUUAAAGGGCGCGUAGGCGGGCCGUCAAGUCAGGGGUGAAAGCCCCCAGCUCAACUGGGGAAGUGCCUCUGAUACUGGCGGCCUCGAGGGAGGUGAGGGGCGUGCGGAACUUCCGGUGGAGCGGUGAAAUGCGUUGAUAUCUACAGGAACUCCGGUGGCGAAGCGGCGUGCUGGACCUCUUCUGACGCUGAGGCGC
rnacentral:rRNA from 1 species